UGCAAAAUUAGGCAACAGGCCCACGAUAUCUUUACCAAACGAGCUAUGACAGAGAAAAGUCAUGAUUGUAUUUUUUAUUUCUGAGUCAAGAACAACUCCCUUAUCCGCCAUCAGUUGAAGAAGGUUUAUAGUCUCUUCUGCUUUACCCAUUGAGCUAAAACCUUUAAGUAAUGAAUCAUAUACAUGGAUGCUUGGUAUAAAGCCAGAGCCAAUCAUUCUAUUAAAAGCUUCUUUAGCCUCAUCCAACAGUCCAAGUUUUGAGAACCAAUUUAUUAAAAUGAAGUAGGUAAAAGCAUUAGGAUUCACACCCAUUUGAAGCAUGUCCUUUAGCAAUUCUUUGGCUGAUUGAAUAUCCCCAGCUUUCAGAGUCCCAUAAAUCAUUAUAUUGAAAGAGAAGACAUCCAAUUCACAAUUUGAGUUCCUCAAUUCUUGAAACAACUUCCUCGCUUGCUCCAAGCUGCUCUCCUUGCACAAGGAAGCCAUCAACAUAUUAUAGUCACACAAAGCAGGGCUCAGCCCAAGGGCUCUCAUUCUAGUAAAAAGUCCUUUUGCAACAUUAAGCAUGCCCAUUCUACAAAAUCCACGAAUCAUGGCACCAUAGGUGAUUGAAUCUGGAACAAAUCCUAAUUCAUUUACACGUUUCCAUAUUCUCAUAGACUCAUUAAUCAAUCCUGCCUUUAGAUAUUCUCCAAUCAAAACAUUGCAAGUUACCAAAUUAACAGAGUACCCCCUAUCAAUCAUCAUAUCAUAAAUCUCAGUUGCCUCAUCAACCCGAGCUUCCUUGCAAAGCCCCUGAAUUAGAUAAUUAAAAGUCCUGACAUUUGGCUCAAUAUAAUUUCCAUCCCUCAACACAGUAUGAAAGAGUUUCAUCGCCUCAUCAACUCCACUGUUAUUGCAAAGUCCCAUCAGUAAGGUAUUGUAAGAAACCACAUCAGGUUUCAUUCCCUUGUCCAACAUCAUUUGCAUAAUUUUUAAAGCUUCAUUAACCAGGCCUUCCUUGAAUAGUCCACGCAUUAAAACAGUAUAUGUCACAGUAUUAGGCUCUUCACCCUUUUCUAACAUCAGUUUAAACAGGUCUAUAGCCUUAGUAGUCUUACCAUCUUUCCAGAGUCCAAAAAUCAAGCACGUAUAGAUAUAAGCAUUAGGGCGAAUCCCACUUUCCAACAUAGCAUUAAACGUAGCAGUGGCUUCUUUCCAUUGCCCCAACUUACAGUAACCAUUAAUAAGUGUACCAUAAACAACAACAUUCCCCUCCGAUCCCUUUCUUUUCAUCUUCUCCCACAACCCAAUUGCCACGUCUACCCUACCAGCCUUACAAAGACCAUCCAUCAAAAUAGAGUACGUAAAAGCAUCCGGUUCACAAUUCAUCUCCUCCAUCUCAGUUAACAACUUCAUAGCAUCUUCAAAUUGUUUCGCCUUGCAAAGUCCUUUUAUAAUUAUAGUAAAAGUAACAACAUCUGGCAUAACAUGAGUCAUUUUCAAUUCAUUAAGCAAAUUCAUAGCCUCAUAAACCUCACCAUUACUACACAGACCCUUUAACAUUGAAUUCAUAACAUACACAUUGACCACAAAACCACGCUUUAAAAUCAAACCCAACACCCCAAAAGCAAAUUUGAGCAUAUGGGUAUGCACAAAACAAUCGACUAAAUGACUUAAAGAAAAAAAAUUAGACAUAAUACCAACAUGGGUCAUCUUACUAUAAACAGAAAGCGUCAAUUGGUAAUUCUUAGACCUUACCAAACUAUGCAGAAGAGAAUUGCAGAUUGACUCUGAAGGAUAGAGAUAUGAAUCGAUAGCUUGGUGAAACAAAGAAACUGCUCUAGUGGAUUGAAAAUUGGGUUCUUGACAAAGUAAUCUCAAUUGGGUUUCUACAUCAGAAAGUGAAGAGAUUGAAGGGAGAGAAGAGAAACAUUUGACGUAAAAUGGAACACAAAUAAUAGUAUGUAAAAUGGGACGUGAGCGUUUAAUCAGUUCGAAAUUCAUAUUUAAAUAAUCAAAGGAACCACAAAGAAGAGAAGAAAUUGAGACAGAAAUAAGGUAAAGGGUUUAGAGCUUAGCAGUGGAGCUCGCCAAAGCCUUAUUUCUUUCUCGGUCCGGUUUAACGAUCAAGUGCUCUUCACUCAUUUUGGUCCGGUUAAUUUUAGAAGCACUUGUAUAUACCAGCAUUUUGAAUUUCUAUAUAAUUUAGUUCUAAAUUACAAAAGUAAAUUAAAUAUUAUUAAAAUUAAAAUAUACUAAAAUAAAAAAAAAUUAUUUUUAUUUUCUAAAUAAUUUUCAUAAGAUUUAAGAAUUAAAUUAUAAUUUCUUAUUAAUUGCAUUGAUUUAUAUAAAAAUAAUAGUAGGUAGAAUUAUGAAAGUUGGAAUUUUAGUAUAAUAAAAUAUAAGAGACAAAUUAUAAUUUAAAUUAAAAAUAAUGAAAUAAAUAGUCAUUUAGAUCUGUUCUAUUUAAAUAGUUAUUUAACAAAAUUUUUAAUAAAAAGACAUUUAAUAUAAACUUAUAAAAUAAUAAUUUAGAUGAAAAGUUCUUAUUUCCAUAAUUAAGUAUUAGACUCCUAGCUUCAAUUUUUUUAAUUUGCAACAAUGUAUAGCAACAUUGCUUUCAAUCUUAGUUUCUGUUGUUCUGGUAUGUAGUUUUUGAGUUUGGUUGACUUUUUUGUUGACAUUUAAGACCAAAUUAAUCAAUAUUAUUCAACUGUUUUAACUAGUUAAUUUUGCAAUUGAAGCAAAAUUGAUAAAUUGCCGUAGGACAAUUACAGCAACAGAAAGCGAAUUACAACCACUGAACUGGAGAGUAUUUAUAAUCAAGAAAUGUUCAUCAGCUUACAUUAUCUUCAAAUGGCUACUGAACAAGGUAUCUAACUGGUCCAAGUUUGAGAGGGUCCAUUUUAAAUAUAGUAAGACUAGGACGAGCUUGCUCUUCCAUAUUGAUAUCUUGAACUCCAUUUGGUAGUUUCCAAUCAAAACAGUAUAACAAAUUUAUAAGUGCCAGUUCUAUUAAUACAGUUCCCAUAUGUAGUGCAGGACAACCUCUUCUACCAGCUCCAAAAGGCAAGAGCUCAAAUGUUGCCCUUUGAAGUCGAUGAAGCUAUCAAUAAACCUUUCAGGAAAGAAAUCUUCAGGGUCCUUCCAGUAGUUAGGAUCUCUUCCAAUUGCCCAAACGUUGACAUGGAUCAGUGAUUUGGGAUAAAUGUCACAACCGUUGAUCUUAAAAUUGGAAAUCACUUCUCUUGGAAGUAGCAAUGGAGCAGGGGGAUGCAAUCUCAGAGUUUCUUUUAUUACCAUCUUGAGGUAAUGGAGAUCAUCAGUCACUUUCUGCCACUCUUUCUCUAUUGCCCACUACAUUUCUAACUUCUUCUUGUGCAUUCUUCACUAUUUCAGGAUUCCUAGCAAGUUCAGCCAUAGCCCAUAUCAGGGUAACUUCAUUAUUUCAGAAUUUUGUUUAAUAAAAUUAAUUUUGUUUUUGCCAUUUGGAAUCGUGAUUCAACUCUUCCUUGGACGUGAUAUCAAAGGAUCCUUUUCUUGAGUGUGAUAAUCAAUAGCUUCUAGGUGUGAUUCUUAGAAGUCCUCCAUCUUUUUUUUUUCUUUUUUUGGGUUUUCCCCUGUAUCAGAUCUGAUACCCUGAAACUAAAUUAAUAUUUCAGCCUCUGGAAAAACUAUUUUACGUAUAAUCUAAUGUAGAACAGCAAGGCCUAAAGAUGUCUUACAUCAUAGAUCAAACAAAAUAAAUCAAAUCAAAAAGCUGAUACAUCAGGAAUAAAUGCAAAUAGAUUUGCAGGCAACAAGCUAACGCAGAAAGACUUGCAUGGAUGAGGCAACAAAACUGAGGCCCAUCAUUUAGCAAACCAAUCUGCAAGACAAAAAAAACAUGGGAAUCUGCAGAGCAGAAGGCCACUUAAAUCCACAUAGGCAAAUGGUAACAAAUAUAUAAUAAUAAUAUGCUCUAUUUCCAGGAGAAGGCCUAAAGGAUGCUUGGAGGUUAGUGUAUAGGAUAAAAGAAGUGGAUAGAUAGGUAUAAGAAGCAGAAAAAAAGAGACCAUUCCUGAUUAUGGAAUACAGGCACAUAAGCCAUUGACUAGAGAGAUAAAAACUUAUAAAGAAGCCUUCAUGACUACGUAACCCCUCUUCGGAUAGUAAUUAUUAAGAGGAAAAAUUUCAUUCAAGGACCACUAAAGCUGCAGAUAAAUGUCAAUGUAUCACCUAUUCCUUCAAAACUCAACAACUGUAAUUAAAAAGUCAACUUUACUACCCUAACACCUGUUUCCUACUUGAGAAGAGAAGGAGACCGGGAAAAAGGAGUAAAUUAUCUUAAUCACCAUAAAAAGGACUAACAACAAACAAAAAUAUUGCUCUCCCGAUUCUCCCUCAAAUAAUACAAAAAAGAAACUUUGUGUUCACGGACACACUCACGGUAUCACUAUGUAAUUGUCUUCUAAUCUGAGUAUUGUAUGUCUUGGGCCUAAAUUAGCAUGCACAAUGUAUGCUAAGGUAAUGUCCACCUGCACAUGGGCACCAAAUUAUUUUACCUUCAAGUGAGUGACAGAGGCACCCAGCUUCAGUAGUUGAAGAAGGUUAGACUUCUGAUGUACUUCAAGCAGCAUUUACUUCAAGUUCUGGGCUAGACUCUUGUAUUUUCAUCAACUUAUUGCAUGAGAUGCUCGACUUUUCUGACACUUCUGAUGCAAAAUUAGGCAACAGGCCCACGAUAUCUUUACCCAACGAGCUAUGACAGAGAGAAGUCAUGAUUGUAUUUUUUAUUUUGGAGUCAAGAACAACUCCCUUAUCCGCCAUCAGUUGAAGAAGGUUUAUAGUCUCUUCUGCUUUACCCAUUGAGCUAAAACCUUUAAGUAAUGAAUCAUAUACAUGGAUGCUUGGUAUAAAGCCAGAGCCAAUCAUUCUAUUAAAAGCUUCUUUAGCCUCAUCCAAC
rnacentral:lncRNA from 1 species